GAGACCUCCCUUAGACUCCCUUCUCACCUCCCUUGACUUGCAUGGAGUCUUGAGUAAUACUUACUGCCAUCCCUGCCUUUGCUGGACAAAGCCGAGAGCCGAACCCACAGUGCAGUUGUCAUGAGCUGAGCACUAGAUGUACAAGACAUGAAGAAAAACAGCUGCUAAGCAAAACAAGUGAAAAGAAAAAUUGAGGUCAGAAAAUAAAAUGAAUUUUCAGGCACAACUGAUGAGGUUUUGGGGUGAUGGUGUGGAGGUCUGGAGCCGACGACCAAGAAAGAAUUCUUGAAGACAUCUUUGACGCAAAAA